rnacentral:misc_RNA from 1 species
AACGCACAUUGCGCUCCCUGGUAUUCCGGGGAGCAUGCCUGUUCGAGCGUCAUUUCACCACUCAAGCAAAGCUUGGUAUUGGGUGCUUGCCCCCCGGGGCACACCUGGAAAUUAGCGGCGGUAUAUCAAUUCAUACGGCGUAGUAAUUAUAUUUUCGUUGAAUAUGAUUUUGAUAAACCAGCCGGACAACCAACAAAUAUUUUUCAAUGGUUGACCUCGGAUCAGGUAGGGAUACCCGCUGAACUUAA